UGCAAGUCGAACGGGGCAAUGAGGUAGUAAUAUCUUGUUGUUCAGUGGCGAACGGGUGCGUAACACGUGGAUACAUUCCGGGAAGCGGGGGAUAGCCCAGGGAAACUUGGAUUAAUACCGCAUGUGGUCGAGAGACUAAAGACGGGGAUCGAGAGACCUGUCACUUCCUGAUUGGUCCGCGGCCUAUCAGCUUGUUGGUGAGGUAAUGGCUCACCAAGGCUACGACGGGUAGCUGGUCUUAGAGGACGACCAGCCACACUGGAACUGAGACACGGUCCAGACACCUACGGGUGGCAGCAGUCGAGAAUCUUUCACAAUGGGGGCAACCCUGAUGGAGCGACGCCGCGUGGAGGAUAAGGUCUUUGGAUUGUAAACUCCUGUCAUGCAAGAGCAAUGUCUGCGGGCUAACACCCCGCAAGACUGAUAGUAUUGCAAGAGGAAGAGACGGCUAACUCUGUGCCAGCAGCCGCGGUAAUACAGAGGUCUCAAGCGUUGUUCGGAAUCACUGGGCGUAAAGGGUGCGUAGGUGGCGUGGUAAGUCAGAUGUGAAAGCCCGGGGCUCAACCUCGGAAUUGCAUCCGAUACUACCAUGCUAGAGAAAUGGAGAGGAGUCUAGAAUUCACAGUGUAGCAGUGAAAUGCGUAGAUAUUGUGAGGAAUACCAAAGGCGUAGGCAGGACUCUGGACAUUUUCUGACACUGAGGCACGAAGGCUAGGGGAGCGAACGGGAUUAGAUACCCCGGUAGUCCUAGCAGUAAACGGUGCACGCUUGGG
rnacentral:rRNA from 1 species